UACGUAGGUGGCAAGCGUUGUCCGGAUUUACUGGGCGUAAAGGGCGUGCAGGCGGCUUGUUAAGUGCAGGGUGAAAGCUCCCGGCUCAACUGGGAGAGGUUCUUGCAUACUGGCGAGCUCGAGGGAGGCAGAGGAAAGUGGAAUUCCCGGUGUAGUGGUGAUAUGCGUAGAUAUCGGGAGGAACACCUGUGGCGAAGGCGGCUUUCUGGGCCUUACCUGACGCUGAGACGCGAAAGCGUGGGGAGCGAACAGG
rnacentral:rRNA from 1 species